rnacentral:rRNA from 1 species
AGAGUUUGAUCAUGGCUCAGAACGAACGCUGGCGGCAGGCCUAACACAUGCAAGUCGAGCGCCCCCGCAAGGGGGAGCGGCGGACGGGUGAGUAACGCGUGGGAAUUUUCCUCAAGGUACGGAACAACUCAGGGAAACUUGGGCUAAUACCGUAUGAUGUCUAGCGACCAAAGAUUUAUCGCCUUGGGAUAAGCCCGCGUCAGAUUAGGUAGUUGGUGGGGUAACGGCCUACCAAGCCUGCGAUCUGUAGCUGGUCUGAGAGGACGAUCAGCCACACUGGGACUGAGACACGGCCCAGACUCCUACGGGAGGCAGCAGUGGGGAAUCUUGCGCAAUGGGCGAAAGCCUGACGCAGCCAUGCCGCGUGAAUGAUGAAGGUCUUAGGAUUGUAAAGUUCUUUCGCUCGUGACGAUGAUGACGGUAACGAGAGAAGAG